rnacentral:lncRNA from 1 species
ACAUUGCGAGAUAUGCAGACAGGAUCCCAGCCUGCAGGAAGCUUCAGUCCAGCAUCAGCACUAGAAGGGCAGCAGUUUAGAAAGCCCAGUCCCAAGGCGCAGCGUGCGUCAGCAAGACAGCAGAAGCAGGAGGAGAGCUGGCGGGAAGACAUGCACCCCUUGAAGACCCAGAGAGAGGCCGUCUGUCUACCGCGUAGCAGUUACAUCAGACUGAGACACUUCCUGUUUACAGGAGACUAUAAAAUUCCUGCCCCGUGCUCAUUUGGGGCUGACGCCAUUUUAGGCCUCAGCCCAUCUGCACCCAGGCGCUCACUGAAACAGUGUGUUGCUCCACACCGCCUUGUUUUGCUUGUUGGCGCGCUCUCAGGGUUCCGACCAAUCCAAGAGCCUUGCAGAAAGCAUUAACGUGCUUUUCUCUUUGGCAGAGUUUUUCUUUGCUCUGAUCUUGGAGACAUCCCUCUGCCUAGUGGAAACAUAAGGAAUACAGAAAGAAUGCAAGGAGAUAGACCAACGUGAGAUUCUCCUUCAUGCACUCAAGAGAAAGAUGUUGCAGGAAGAGCUAGUCUUUCAGGCUGGGCUGGUGACCUGAGAAAGAAUGUCCAGCUUUUCUUCUCCACUUGGCAUAUCAAGAGCCAGGCGUGGAAGACUAAAACAGGAAAUGUUUAUAAAAACUGUUCAGCGGUUCGCCAACAAGAAGUGGUAAAGUAGCAAAAAUGGGGAUGGAGAUGCCAGGAGGAAAGAUGCCAGGGGUAAAGUGGGAAAAUGGGAACCUGAAGCCAGGAGGUCAAGCCAAGCCAACAGGUGUUCUGUUUUUCAAUGAGGAGGUGGGGCACAGGAUGGAUGGAAACUUUCCACAGUCACAGAACUAAUAAGUGGUGCUGAGGACUCAAACCCGGGGAAGCCCACUCUAGAACCCAUGCUGGUCAUCCAUAUCCCCAAGGCCCUGGUCAGAACACAGCUAAGCAGAUGGCUUGGGUCAUCAGGACGUCCAUUACAUCCAAAGGAAGACAGCCUGUGACGUUUCAAAAGCAAAAGUCCCCUACCAGCCAGUGAAGCUACCUGAUUUCUCAGUAUCUUACGCCCAGUGACACGAUCUACCCUCAAAACUUAAAAAAAAAAGGGAAACAUAAACACAUAACAGCAGCAGCAAUAAUUAAAGAUGAGAUGAGAACAAUUAAGAAAAAAGGAAAGGUCUCCUGUGACUGUUUUAUUUUUAGGGAAACAGAGAGGAAGAAGAAUGAUUUUUCUUUUGAUGACUCUAUAUCCAACUCUGAGGUUUGAUUAAAGAAAUGACCUUGAACCACAGCAAAGAAAAAUAAAAGACAAUUUCCAUAUUGUCAUUCAGAUUAGCUUUCAUGCACGUACCACAAGAAAAAUCAGAUGUCCUGGAUUUGUCCUGUGUUCCUCAUCAGCAGAGGAAGCCACUAGCAGCCCUUACGAGAAUCAAGGCUACUCUACUGGAACUCUUCUUACAUAGCCAAAAAUGUGUGAAUUCCAUUUACUGUGAUUUUUAACAAAAAUGUGUUUAUUUAAAUGUGUUUAUUGUGGUACUCGCUUGCUUAAUUAUCUUAUUUAUUUUAUUUGUUGUAUUUUUGAGACAGGUUCUCACUCUGUAGCCCAGACUAGAGUGCAGUGAUGCGAUCCUAGCUCACUGUAGCCUCAACCUCCUGGGCUCAAGCAAUCCUCCUGCCUCAGCCUCCAGAAUAGUUGGGACUACAGCUAUGUGCCAGCACACCCAGCUAAUUUUUUUUUUUUUUUUUUUUUUUUUUUUGUGGAGACGGGGUCUUGCUGUGUUGAGCAGGCUGGUCUCAAACUCCUGGCCUCAAGUGAUCCUCCUGCCUCACCCUCCCAAAGUGCUGGGAUUACAGGUGUGAGCCAUCACUACCCUUGGCCUGUUUGCUUAAUUAUCUGUGGAAUACAGAAAAAGAAAAAAAUCAAUACUCUUUAAAAAAAUAAUCUAGUCCUUAAAACACAUUUUUAGACCGGCCAUAUUGGCUCACACCUGUAAUCCCAGCACUUUGGGAGGCCAAAGUGGGUGGAUCACUUGAGGUGAGGAGUUCAAGACCAGCCUGGCCAACAUGGCAAAACCCCAUCUCUACUAAAAAUACAAAAAUUAGCCAGGUGUGGUGGUGAGCGCCUGUAAUCUCAGCUACUCAGGAAGCUGAGGCAAAAGAAUCUCUUGAAUCCAGGAGGUGGAGGUUGCAAGGAGCUGAGAUUGCACCACUGCACUCCAGCCUGGGUGACAGAAUGAGACUGUCUCCAAAAAAAACUAAAAAAUAAAAUACAUUUUAAAUGAUUUUCAGUGACUAGUUUUUGGAGACCUUUACAUGGCUGCUUUACUCAUGUGGAUGAAUGUGUUUAUCAAUGUCCCUGGGGAAAAUAAAAGCAGCGUUAUUUGCCUUACUUCCCUACCAGAUUUUUGAUAUUUUCUCAAAAUCAGCUGGGUGCAGGAGCAUGAGCCUGUAACCCCAAGCUCUACUCAGGAGGCUGAGGUGGGAGGAUCAGUUGAGCCCAGGAGGUCAAGGCUGCAGUAAGCUAUCACUGCACCACUGCACUCCAGCCUGGGUGACAGAGCAAGACUCUGUUUCUUUAAAAACAAAACAAAACAAAAAAAUCUUAUAUUUUCUCAAAAUCGGAGUCCACUCAUGGGAUGUGUCAUUUUAUUAGCUAUAUAUAUACAUCUAUGCCGUUUGGAUUUGAAUGUCAUCCAUUAUCUGUUGCAGUGGGUUGAAUGGUGUCCCCUUCCCCCAAAAAAAGACAUGCCCAAUCCCUAAGUCCCAGUACCUGUGAAUGCGGCCUUGCUUGGAAAUCAUAUCUUUGCAGAUGUCAUGAAGAGAAGGAUCUCAAGUUGAGAUUAUCCUACAUUAGUUGUGUGAGCCCUGAAUGCAAUGAACCUUAUAAGACAAAAGGAGAAACAGAUACAGAAAGAGACAUGGGAGAAGGUGAUGUGACCACAUAGGCAGAGAUGGGAGUGACGCAGCAGCAAGCCAGGGAGCCCUACGGAUGGCCGGCCGCCACCAAAAGCUGGGAGAAAGGCAGGGAACAGAUUCUCCCUGAGAGCCUUUAGAGCAAGCACAGCCCUGCUCACACCAUGAUUUCAGACUUCCAGCCUCCAGGACUGUGCAAGAAUAAAUGUCUGUUGUUUUAAGCCACCGAGCUUGUGGAACUUUGUAACGGCAGCCCUGGGAAACUAACACCUGUGGGUCGAGGCAGGGAAAGAAAUGCUGCCCCAGUAUAGAGAAGAUUUGCUCCAGGUUCUAGGAGAGCCAAAAAGCAGCAUCUCAUGGCCGUCAGCAAACCCCUGGGAGGACGGCAGACCCCAGGGGGCGAGCAAACUUGCUGGUGGUUGGAGCAUGCCUGAUGCUAUCACUCUGUGGGUACCAAGUACCAGGCAAACAGGUAGGCCUUGUUCAAAGCCAGUGAUGGAGAGAGGCACUCUCCAACAGAGCCAUCGAACAGGGCACGUACUGUAUCAGCUCUAGCAGAGGCCAGCAAACUUUUCUGUAAAGGGCUUGAUAGUAAGUAUUUUCAGCUUUGUGAACCACAAACCGGAGUAGUCUCUGUCACACCUCCUCAGCUCUGCUGUUGGGAAGUGAAACCAACCAUAUGCAACUGCCAAACAAAUACACGUGAAAAUCUUUAUUUACACAUGCUUCGCUCUAUACCCAAAAAAAUGUAAAGCAGGGACUCAAACAGAUACUUGUAUAUGAAUGUUAUUCUCACAAUAGCCAAGAGGUGGAAAUAACCCAGGUGUUCAUCAAUAGAUGAAUGGACAAACGAAAUGUGUAGAUACACGUACAUGCAAAGGAAUAGUAUACAGCCUUAAAAAGGAAUGAAAUUCUGACACGUGCUACAACGUGGGUGAACCCUGAACGCAUGAUGCUAAGUAAAAUAAGCCAGACACAAAAGUAAAAAGAUCGUAUGACUGCACUUACAUGAAGUACCUAGAACAGGCAAAUUCAUAGAGAUAGAAAGUAGAAGUUACUAGAAGCUCAGGAAAGUGGGAAAUGGAAAGUUACCGAUUCACGGUACAGAGUUCCUAUUUGGGGUGCUGAAAAAGUUUUGAAAUUAGAUAGUGGGGAUGGUUAUACAAAGUGUGAAUAUACUCAAUGCCACUGAAUUGUACAAUUUAAAAUGGUUAAAAUAGUAAAUUUUAUGUUAUACAUAUUUUGUCAUAAUAAAGUUUGCAUUUAGAAAAAAAAAAUUUCUUUCAAACAGAGUCUCACUCUGUCACCCAGGCUGGAGUGCAGUGGCAUCAUCUCGGCUCACUGCAACCUCUGCCUCCCAGGUUCAUUCUUUCUGCCUCAGCUUCCUGAGUAGCUGGAAUUACAGGCAUGCAUCACCACAACCAGCUAAUUUUUGUAUUUUUAGUAGAAAUGGGGUUUUGCCAUUUUGGCCAGGCUGGUCUCGAACUUCUGACCUCAAGUGAUCCACCCAGCUCAGCCUCCCAAAGUGCUGGGAUUACAGGCGUGAGCAACCAUACCCGGCUUAGGAAAAAAAAAAAUUAUUUACAAAAAUAGAAACUGGCCAUAGUUUGCCAACUCCUGGUAUAGAGUUUUCUAUAACAUCAAAGUGGCUCUUGGUAUGUGACUGUUCCAGAAUUAUCCCAGCAUAGCAGAUAUGAGGUGGUACUUCCUAUGAGCUCUGCCAUCCUCAGUCCCUGGACUGUGUCAUUUCCUUUGGGCAUGUGCACAUACACCCCUGGAACAUGGAGGAAGGCAUAUUAAUAGCGGGUAGUAUGGAUUUAAAAGCCUCAGAACCGUGUCAUUGAUGCUAUGCUCUGUUCCUGGAAGUGAAAAUGCACAGAGGAACCAGCUGGUACAGUAUGAUGACAACAGAUUUAGGGUACCCAGUCACCAUUCACUGCAUGGCCUCAGUCACGUUAUCCCUGCUCUCUGGGCCUCAGUUUAAUCAGAUGAUUCUCAUUUGCUGGCUAUAUGAUGUCCUGCUCUGGAAAAGCAUGUAGCUUAGAAAUGAGACUGCAUGUGAAGGUAUUACACCACCCCCCGUGGAUGGCUGCCACCAUCCUUAAGCAUAUUUUCAUCCAGAAGAAUAAACAUCCUUAGAGAAAUACACAUGAAAUGCAAAGCUUGAAGUCAUAACUCAAUGCAUAACAACCUGCAAACCAGUACAGGCUUAUGAGCUAGCUAAUAAAAUAAAUCAUAGUCAUGUUUUUCAAAUGACUUUUCAUGUGUUGUCAUUACUUCUCCGACGUACUGUAAAUUAAC